rnacentral:tRNA from 1 species
GCGGGCGUGGCGGAAUGGCAGACGCGCCAGACUUAGGAUCUGGUGCCAAACGGCGUAUGGGUUCAAGUCCCUUCGCCCGCACCA